rnacentral:snRNA from 1 species
AUACUGACCUGGCAGGGGAGGCACCAUGAUUACAAAGGAUGAGGCUUGUCCAUUGCACCCUGCAAUUUCCCCAAAUGGGGGAAGCUUGACCAACUGCCUGAUUUGUGGUAGUGGGGUGCUGCAUUCAUGCUCUCCCUGU